rnacentral:rRNA from 1 species
GAUGAACGCUGGCGGCGUGCCUAAUACAUGCAAGUCGAGCGAACAGAUGAGAAGCUUGCUUCUCUGAUGUUAGCGGCGGACGGGUGAGUAACACGUGGGUAACCUACCUAUAAGACUGGGAUAACUCCGGGAAACCGGGGCUAAUACCGGAUAAUAUUUCGAACCGCAUGGUUCAAUAGUGAAAGACGGUUUCGGCUGUCACUUAUAGAUGGACCCGCGCCGUAUUAGAUAGUUGGUAAGGUAACGGCUUACCAAGGCGACGAUACGUAGCCGAGCUGAGAGGGUGAUCGGCCACACUGGAACUGAGACACGGUCCAGACUCCUACGGGAGGCAGCAGUAGGGAAUCUUCCGAAAUGGGCGAAAGCCUGACGGAGCAACGCCGCGUGAGUGAUGAAGGUCUUCGGAUCGUAAAACUCUGUUGUUAGGGAAGAACAAAUUUGUUAGUAACUGAACAAGUCUUGACGGUACCUAACCAGAAAGCCACGGCUAACUACGUGCCAGCAGCCGCGGUAA